rnacentral:tRNA from 1 species
GUUGCUUUGGCAGAGCAGUGCAGUAAAUUUAGGCUUUAAAAACACAAGCGUUCAUCGAUUGUAAGCAACA